UGAGUUCGUGACCCUCCUGGCUGCCUGGCCCCGAGCCUUCCACCACUGUAGGCCUCGGUUGCCCUUCUAUUACCUGGCCAAAACGGUGGCCCUGACCUACUUGGGGGUCAGGAGCCCCUUGAAACUAGAUGGAAGUGAUAGGUCCCUUUUCCAGAAAGCUGGUCAGGUCAGGCUGACUAGGCUUGUUUCUGGAGUGUGAACAGCAAACACCCACUCAGCUGACGCGUCCCUUCGCAGCUGCGGGAGCACCAAGUCCAGCUGCACAAAGACACCCUGAGCCUGUCCUCUCCAAGCCCCGGGGCAGACGCCGGCUGCGGCCCCCACGUCUCCAGGCUCCCAGCCUCCACAGCCAGGAUGGCCCAGGCCCCUGGGGACCCUGAUGAAAGAGGAGCCCUCGGGGCAAUCGCCACCCUGUCUGCGUUUUUAAGACGAAGUCACUGAGGCCCCGCAAGGGGAACUCCGGGCCACAGGGCUGACACCUGGGUCUGCACACCUGUCCUCACGCUCAUUUUAAGAAACAACAGAAGCUGCUUUGAGAAGAGGCGGACAUGCAUGCCUGUGUUUCCCUCGGUACCGCAGAUAACACCUCACUCCUGGAAGAAAACCCAAGGAAAGCGAGCCGUGUGCUGAGCAAUGGCCGUGUGUCCUAGAGAGCUUGAGGGCUGUGGGCGGAGGGUGGUUUUGUUUUUGUUUCUUUUGAUUUGUUAUCAUUAGCUGAUUUACUCCUCACUACAAUCUUUGCGGUAGCUGCUCUUAUCCCCAGUUCACAGAUGGGAAAAGUGAGGCAUAGAGAGACCACAUGGAUGGCAGAGCGGAGGCUCAAACUGCGGAAACCUGCCGUCAGAGAACAGAAAAGAGGACAAGUGGGGGACUGGGGAGGGUGCCAGCAGGGAGCGCCCAGGGCCUGGGCUGGUUCCCCAGGGUUCUGUGGUACUUCCCAAGGGGGACAGGCAGGUAUUUGUUACUCAGUGGCUGAAUUUAACUUCUCCCUCCUGGGUGUUCCUUUCCAACCAGUCACUUACACCUCAUCCGUUUUACAGCCUCGCAUUUACAGACGCGCCAGCCUGAAGACUCAGCCCAGGAGGCCAGCCAGCCCUAUGGGCUCGGCCCUCACUCUGAUCUCCGACCCCACGACCCCUCGGCUCCUUUGGGGUCAGGGGGGUGGGUGGAGGAGGAGGGAGGGGGAGAGGCUCACCCAGGGGCAGGCUUUUCAAGAACCAAAACUCUUUUCAAGACAAGGCAAAGCCAGGCUUGCCAUUGAUUGGAUGGGGAUCCCCGGCUGCUGGAGGUAGACCUCGGUGGGUGAAGGGGUGGGGGCCCCCAGGCUUUCGAAUUGCACCUCACCUGCGCCCAGCAAGGAUGAACAUGUCCUGAUCUAGGGGCGAGCCUUGGAGCCCAGCUGUAGAGCCAGCCAAUGGGUUAUCCCUUCCCCCACUAGGGCAAAACCCAGAAGGCAAAGGAGCGGGCUACUGCCCUGCCAAGGGUCCCCAGGUCUUUCCCAGAAGGACCCUGCUUUGCAUUUCCCUUGGGGUUCUUGGGGGCAGACAUUUCCUGGCAAGAGGCUGGCUGCUGCCCACAGAGCUCCCUCCAGCUUCCCAGGCACUGUGUGUGCUCUGUUCUCGGCGCCCCAAAGAGCCGCUGGCUUGGGUUUGUGGGAGCCUGUCUGAGAUGAACAGGGGCCGUUCAGAGAGCUCCUCCUCGAGCCUCUGGGAUUCUGCUUAGGGUUGAGUCUCUGGGAUUCUGCUUAACCUCAGGUGGGGAAUAGAGACCUGGGAGGGGUCAUCUGGGCAGACACCUGUCCCUGAGGUGGGCAGAUCCACUCAGACACUCGUUCAUGCAAAUGCUGUUUCCUGAACAUCUACUGUGUGCCCAGCACUGUGCUAGACACCAAAGAUGCCACGGUUGACCCAACAAU